CAACCGAUAGAACGAGUCGGGCUUGGCCUGCGCCGUUCACGGCCUGACCGUCACGCGCGGG
rnacentral:misc_RNA from 1 species